GAUUGCUGGCUACUCGUUAGUUAGAGGAAAGUCCAUGCUCGCACAGUCUGUGAUGGCUGUAGUGAUUGCGCUAACGAAAAAGAUAACGUUAGGCACGUAGGAGUACGUGACGGCGGAAGGAUACCUAAGGCGAAAGCUAUGGUCGAAUUCCUGAAAGUGCCACAGUGACGAAGCUUACUUGAAAGGGUAAGGUGAAACGCGGUAAACCCCACAAGCGAGAAACCCAAAUUUGGUAGGGGAGGUUAGCUAGAGAAACGAAUCGACGCUAACAGGCUAUGCCUAGAUAAAUUAUCAUCCUAGACAAAACAUGGCUUAUAG
rnacentral:RNase_P_RNA from 1 species